UGUGUGUGUGUGUGUGUGUGUUGUUAAAAUGAGGAAAAAGGCAAAGCAGGCUCUAACUAUAGAUACCUACACUGAAAGAGAGCAGAUUUCAAACCUGGAGGAGAUUAAAAACAGUUUGUCUCUAGAUGAAAACCCAAAGAUAAAUAUGAUCUAGUCCCUACUACAUAAGGCUCUCAGAGAAGAAAUUUAAAAGGCUCUUAAAAGAGAGCUAGAAGAAAAAUGGGGAAAGGAAAGCUUUGCAAGAGAGUCUGGAUAAGACAUGUAACUCAUUAAGAGAUAGAGUGGAAAAAGAAAUCAAUUCCCUGAAAAAAUAGAAAUAGCAAAUUGGAAAAAGAAAAUAAGUCCUUAAAAAAUAAAAUUAGCAAAAUGGAAAAAAAUUCCAAAGAACAAAACAACUCAUUUAACUCAAUUGCACAAUUACAAAAAGAAAUAAAAAAAAAUAAAUUGAAGAAAAUAAUUCAUUAAAAAUCAGAAUUGAAUAAAUGGAAAUGAAUGACUAGAGGAGAAACCAAGAAUCAGUCAAGCAAAACCAAAACAAAGGAAAAGAAAAAAGAAAAAAAGUUAAAUACCUACUUGGGAAAACAACAGACCAAGAAAAUAGAUUGAGGAGAGAUAAUCUAAGGAUUAUUGGACUCCCUGAAAAUCAUGAUGAAAAAAAGAGCCUAGACAUUAUUUUUCAGGAAAUCAUCAAAGAGAACUGCCCAGAUCUUAUAUAAACAGAAGGUAAAAUAGACAUUGAAAAAAUUCAUUGAUUACCUAUUGAAAGAAAUCCCAAAAUCAAACCUCCAAGAAAUAUUGUGGCUAAAUUCCAGAACUAUUAGACCAAGUUAAAAAUAGUACAAGCAGCCAGGAAAAAAACAAAAACAAAAACAAAAACAAUUUAAAUAAAGAGGAGCCACAGUAAGGAUUACUCAGGAUCUAGCAACAUCCACAUUAAAGGAUCAAAGGGCCUGGAAUCUGAUAUUCUGAAAGGCAAAGAAACUUGGUAUGCAGCCAACAAUAUCUGACUUGGCCAAACUGAGCAUUUUCUUCCAGGGAAGAAGAUGGACAUUCAAUGAAAUAGGUAAGUUCCAUUUAUUUCUGACAAAAAAACCCAUAGCUAAACAAAAAGUUUGACUUCUAAAUAUAGGAAUGAAGAGAAGCAUAAAAAGGUAAAAAAGAAUUCUUGAGAACUGUAUUUCUUUUAGGAGCAUACAUAAAGAGUACAUGUAUAAUUUGGUUUUACUGUUAUAAUAUAAAAAAGGAUCUAAAGGUGGAAAGGAAAUUGUAAUAGAAAAAGGGAAAAGUGGAGGUACUACAUCUCACAAAGAGGCAAAGGAAACCUAUUAUAUUGGAGGGAAAGAAAGGAGGGGAUGAGCAUAGUGUGAAUCUUACUCUCAUCAGAAUUGGCUCAAAGAGAAAAUAUUAGAUAUAUUCGGUAUACAGAGAAACUUCUCCCACCUCACUGAAAACUGGGAGGGGAAAAGCAAAAAGGGAAGGAAUAGGCUAAAUAGAAGGGAAUACAGAAAUUUUAAGGGAAAGAUUCAAGAAAAGGGGAGGGACCCUAAAGGGGGAGGGCUGCAUGAGGCAAGUGGUGCUCAUAAGUUUUUAUUUUCAAAAUAUAUACAAAGAUACUUUCAACCCUCACCCUUGUGAAACCUUACAUUCCAAAUUUUUCUCCCUCCUUUCCUUGCACCCCUUCCCCUAGAUAGCAUAUUAUCCAAUAUAUGUUGAAUAUGUGUAAUCCUUCUAUAUAUAUUUCUAAUUUUAUCAUGCUGAACAAGAAAAGUCAGAUCAAAAAGGAAAAAAAAAAUGAGGAAGAAAAAAAAAGCAAGAAGACAGCAAAGAAGGCAGGUGUAGUUGUAGGUAGAAGACCUGAAACAAAAUAUAAAGUUCCUGCUUUUAUCACUGGAUAGAUGACAACCACCUGGUGCUCUUGUUAUUUUUCUCUCAAAGCACAUAAUGUUCCCAAGGAGAAAACUGGAGGUGUAAGGUUGAAUUUAUGAAAAAAUAAUAAGAAAGUUAUAGGGACAAAGCUAACUGAAGAACAGGGUGCAUUGGAUAUCUUAAAUCUACAGAAAACAAAAUUCAGAACUCAAAAGGAGGAAAAAUGGCAGAAUAAAAUUUCAUAGAGACAGUAGAUAAGACCCUGAAUAUGCAAAUGAAAACAAAUUCCACAUUAAAAAUUAUUGAAAUAUUAUUUCAAUUUCUCUUGUGCUAAGCUACUCAUACUGAGUAUCUGAACUCAGCAGUUCUUUGUACUGGUCUGAUAAACUAAAACCAUUCAAGAUGACUGAAAAAUGAAUAGCAUGGAGAGGAGACCUUUACCCUAUAAUCAAAGAUUGGUCAAAUCAACAAUCUUCAUUCUGAAAAGGAAAUCUUCUCUCAAGUGAUAAUUCCCAAUGCUUUUGGUUCUUUGGACAAGUUUGACAGAACUCUCCAAUUGGACUCCAAUUUGAAUAUUGAUAUCAUCUCAGGUAUAUGUCCAGACUUUAGUAGACACUAACACUGGAGUGUUAAAGACUAACUUAAUUACUUGGGGACCAUUGCCAAGUCUGGAAUCAAGAUUUCCUUGAAGAUUUUGCAGACUAGAACUGUCAUCUUCAUGGCUGGUCAGUUUGAUAUAGGUUUCCAUGUUGCUUACUUAAUGGCAUCAAAGAUGUCAAAAUUAUCCAUUGCAUCCCAGGUUAUCAUGAAUAAUCCUAAUUUUUGUCUUUCCACUGGACAUUAAUGUCUCAUGAAGAGAGGGUGAAAUGAUGGCUUUGUACAACUCUACCUCACUUAAAACCAAUUCCCAUGGAAGUCAAGACAUCUCUUUGCGAUGUCAUUAGAUCUUCUUGAAAAUGAAGAAUGAACAACAAAACAACAACAUGGAAGAAGAGAAGGUAGCUUUCAUCACCAUGUCAUGAUUAUGAUGCAGAACAUGCAUGAGAAUCUUUUCAUGAUGCCUCUUUUACAGUUUGAACUGACCAUAGUGAGCCUGUUGGUAGGAGUACCAAGAUGAUCUUUAUCUAAAAGAAGACCAGGAAAAAAGUAUGUGGAAAAUAUAUAGAUCUUCUGAAUUGUAAAGUUCAUUAGCAUCCCAUCACAUUUCAUUUGCAGAAAGAACAAGAGAAAGAAAUCAAUGAUGAUGAGACAGAGAAAAACGAAGAAAGGAUGGGAUAAAGUUAAAGUUGAAAAAAAAAAUAACAUUGAAAACAUAAGAUCAGAUGAGAUACAUGAAGAUAAGAUCAACAAGAAGAAAACCGAAACAUUCAAGUAGAAAUACAUUGGUCAAGAAGAGCUGAACAGGACCAAGCCAAUCUAAAUAUGUAGACAUGAUAUCAGUCAGGAAGGGUAGAGUAGUCUUGAGGUUUGUCUUGCUACUGGACUCUUAUAACUGGAGAAGAGAAUGAAGCUGAUGACUUUCCAUAUCUCUACCUUUCUUAAGUCCAAUUUAUUUACAACUCACAACAUGUAACAAGGUGAUAUCAUUGUUACUCUUUGAGAAUGAAAAAAUGAACAAGAACUAUAGCCAGGAAGGGUAUGGCAAGUUUUAUAAGAACCUCAUUAGUGAUUAUGUAGAUAAUUUAUUAUUCAAGAAUUGGCUGUUUUUCAGAGUUUGGUUCUCUUUGAUCUCCUCGAAAACAAAAAGAAAAAGAUCAUUAGCCAGUACAAUGGAGCAUGACUUUAUUAUGGACAAUUGUAAUGGGCAUGCUCUUGAGUAUUAUAAUUUUAUCUAUUGUGUGCUAUUCUCUAAGGACUUAUGCCUCAACAUUUUAUAAGCAUAUUGUGGUAGAGUCAGAUAAUAAAGGUUAUCCAUCAAAAUGUUGUCAAGAAUUGUCUAGAGUUCUUAUUUGAAAUCCAGGAAACAAAAGAUAAUUACAAAAAACUACUGAUACCUUAAAAAAAUCCAAACCCCCAAACUUAGAGUCCAAGUUGAUACAACUUCUUGGCCCUAUUUAUUUCAUGUAGAGGACCACAGAUAUUGGGGAACUCUGAGAAAAGUAUACUUGAAGCAAAGAUACUUACAGCAGGGUGUUAACUCAAUGUGAUUGAUAAGAUGAUGGUUCUCUAAUUCAUAUAUACUUAGUACUUAGUAUGGUGCUGUAAUGGUUCUAUAGUUGGCACAUGCUCAGUAUGCUGUAGUCAUGUAAUUGUACUAAGGUAUGUAAGGGCUGGGAGGACUUGAAAUAAGAGACUUGAGAGAGAAUCUAGUAAGAGAAAUGAAGGAAAUCCAGAAAUGUAUAUACUACAUCACUGGUGAGAACAAAGUAUCACUGUCUACUUUUUAUAGUAAAUAAGAAUUGAAAUAAAAUGCUCAUCUCCCAAGAAAUUGCUGAAUAAGUUGUAUUACACAAAUGCAAUGAAAUAAUGUUGGACAUAGAGAAACAUAAAGAGAAAGAUGCAGAGCCAUGAAAAUAAAAUACACAAUGAUUAUUUUAAUGUGAUUAAGAAAUAACAACAAAACAUUUGACACUUAAAGCUAUCCAAAUAUAAUGACCAAGCUCAACUCCCUACUCCCUAUAUUAAGAAGUUAAGAAGUCCUUCCAUACACAGUCUUUCUUUUAUUUUUCAAAGGCUGGAGGAGGAAAGGGUGUGAGAUGCUACAUAUAAAACCCAACUUUGUCAAUGUCUUGGUUAGUUUUACUCAAUGUUGUUCUAGUUUACAUUUAACAAAUGGCUUUCUGAGGGGAAAAAAAUAAUCAGGACAAAAUAUUUUAGUUUUAUCUACAUUGUUAAUAUUUUCUUCAUCAUUUUCUAAAGUUGAAAAAUAAAUAAAAUAAUAAUUCAAGA